GACGUAGGGUGCGAGCGUUGUCCGGAUUUAUUGGGCGUAAAGAGCUCGUAGGCGGCUCGUCGCGUCGACCGUGAAAACCCGCGGCUCAACCUCGGGCCUGCAGUGGGUACGGGCAGACUAGAGUGCGGUAGGGGAGAUUGGAAUUCCUGGUGUAGCGGUGGAAUGCGCAGAUAUCAGGAGGAACACCAAUUGCGAAGGCAGCUCGCUGGGACGUAACUGACGCUGAGGUGCGAAAGCGUGGGGAGCAAACAGG
rnacentral:rRNA from 1 species